UACGUAGGGUGCAAGCGUUAAUCGGAAUUACUGGGCGUAAAGCGUGCGCAGGCGGUUUUGUAAGUCUGUCGUGAAAUCCCCGGGCUCAACCUGGGAAUUGCGAUGGAGACCGCAAGGCUUGAAUCUGGCAGAGGGGGGUAGAAUUCCACGUGUAGCAGUGAAAUGCGUAGAGAUGUGGAGGAACACCGAUGGCGAAGGCAGCCCCCUGGGUCAAGAUUGACGCUCAUGCACGAAAGCGUGGGGAGCAAACAGG
rnacentral:rRNA from 1 species